GAUGAACGCUGGCGGCGUGCUUAACACAUGCAAGUCGAACGGUGAAGCAGAGCUUGCUCUGUGGAUCAGUGGCGAACGGGUGAGUAACACGUGAGCAACCUGCCCCUGACUCUGGGAUAAGCGCUGGAAACGGCGUCUAAUACUGGAUAUGAGCUGCGACCGCAUGGUCAGCAGUUGGAAAGAUUUUUCGGUCUGGGAUGGGCUCACGGCCUAUCAGCUUGUUGGUGAGGUAAUGGCUCACCAAGGCGUCGACGGGUAGCCGGCCUGAGAGGGUGACCGGCCACACUGGGACUGAGACACGGCCCAGACUCCUACGGGAGGCAGCAGUGGGGAAUAUUGCACAAUGGGCGAAAGCCUGAUGCAGCAACGCCGCGUGAGGGAUGACGGCCUUCGGGUUGUAAACCUCUUUUAGCAGGGAAGAAGCGGAAGUGACGGUACCUGCAGAAAAAGCGCCGGCUAACUACGUGCCAGCAGCCGCGGUAAUACGUAGGGCGCAAGCGUUAUCCGGAAUUAUUGGGCGUAAAGAGCUCGUAGGCGGUUUGUCGCGUCUGCUGUGAAAUCCCGAGGCUCAACCUCGGGUCUGCAGUGGGUACGGGCAGACUAGAGUGCGGUAGGGGAGAUUGGAAUUCCUGGUGUAGCGGUGGAGUGCGCAUAUAUCAGGAGGAACACCGAUGGCGAAGGCAGAUCUCUGGGCCGUUACUGACGCUGAGGAGCGAAAGGGUGGGGAGCAAACAGGCUUAGAUACCCUGGUAGUCCACCCCGUAAACGUUGGGAACUAGUUGUGGGGUCCAUUCCACGGAUUCCGUGACGCAGCUAACGCAUUAAGUUCCCCGCCUGGGGAGUACGGCCGCAAGGCUAAAACUCAAAGGAAUUGACGGGGACCCGCACAAGCGGCGGAGCAUGCGGAUUAAUUCGAUGCAACGCGAAGAACCUUACCAAGGCUUGACAUAUACGAGAACGGGCCAGAAAUGGUCAACUCUUUGGACACUCGUAAACAGGUGGUGCAUGGUUGUCGUCAGCUCGUGUCGUGAGAUGUUGGGUUAAGUCCCGCAACGAGCGCAACCCUCGUUCUAUGUUGCCAGCACGUAAUGGUGGGAACUCAUGGGAUACUGCCGGGGUCAACUCGGAGGAAGGUGGGGAUGACGUCAAAUCAUCAUGCCCCUUAUGUCUUGGGCUUCACGCAUGCUACAAUGGCCGGUACAAAGGGCUGCAAUACCGUGAGGUGGAGCGAAUCCCAAAAAGCCGGUCCCAGUUCGGAUUGAGGUCUGCAACUCGACCUCAUGAAGUCGGAGUCGCUAGUAAUCGCAGAUCAGCAACGCUGCGGUGAAUACGUUCCCGGGUCU
rnacentral:rRNA from 1 species